AACCAGCUACUAGAUGGUUCGAUUAGUUUUCGCCCCUAUACCAGGUCGGAUAGCUUGCGCUCCGAAGUCUCGCAGUUUAUCUAUCUGGUAAAGCGAAUGAUUAGAGGCUUGGGUCCGAAACGAUCUCAACCCUAUUCUCAAACUUUAAAUGGGUAAGAAGCCCGGGCCGCUGGCUUGGAGCCGGGGCGUGGGAUUGCGAGCCGCUAGUGGGCCACCUUUGGUAAGCAGAACUGGGGCGCUGGCGGGAUGAACCGAAAAGCCGGGUUAAGGCGGCCCGAUGCCGACGCUCAUCAGACCCCAAAAAGGUGUUGGUUGAUAUAGACAGCAGGACGGUGGCCAUUGGAAGUCGGAACCCGCUAAGGAGUGUCUAACAACUCAACCUGCCGAAUCAACUAGCCCUGGAAAAUGGAUGGCGCUGGAGCGUCGGGCCAUUACCGGCCGUCGCUGGCAACGAAGCCCGCGAGGGCUAGGCCGCGACGAGUAGGAGGGCCGCCGCGGUGCGCACAGAAGCCUGGGGCGCGAGCCCGGGUGGAGCCGCCGCGGGUGCAGGGGAGGGGUAGCAGUGUGAAGACAGAAGGGGAAAGAGAGACGAGUUUAUGAAAAUCGAGUUCCUUUUUUUUUUUUUUUUUUUUUUUUUGGUGGAGCCGCCGCGGGUGCAGAUCUUGGUGGUAGUAGCAAAUAUUCAAACGAGAACUUUGAAAGGCCGAAGUGGGAAAGGGUUCCAGUGAAAAACAGCAGUUGAACAUGGGGUCAGUCGGUCCUAAGGGAUGGGCGAACGCCUUCGGAAGUGCGGGGCGAUGGCCUUCUGUCGCCCCCGGCCGAUCGAAAGGGGAGUCGGGUUCAGAGAUCCCCGAACCUGGAGUGGCGGAGACAGGAGCGCGAGGCGUCCAGUGCGGUAACGCGAGCGAACCCGGAGAAGCCGGCGGGAGCCCCGGGGAGAGUUCUCUUUUCUUUGUGAAGGGCAGGGCGCCUGGAAUGGGUUCGGCCCCGAGGAGGGGCCCCGUGCCCUGGAAAGGUCGCGGUUCCGGCGGCGUCCGGUGAGCUCUCGCGCUGCCCUUGAAAAUCCGGGGGAGAGGGUGUAAAUCCGCGCAGGCCGUACCCUUAUCCGCAGCAGGUCUCCAAGGUGAACAGCCUGGCAUGUUAGAUAAGGGAGAUAUAAGGGAAGUCGGCCAAAUCAGAUCCGUAACUUUCGGGAUAGGAUUGGCUCUAAGGGCUGGGGUCGGUCGGGCUGGGGUGCGAAGCGAGGCUUGGCCUCGCGCCGCGGCGGGGGAGCAGUCGCCCCGUCGCCCUCCUCCCUCCGCCGCCGGAGGCGCGGCGACGGCCCGCCCUGUGGGGGGUUUUCCCCGCUCUCCUCCGUCUGGCUCGUCCAGGCGGCGGGGGGUCGGGGGGGCUUCUCGCGGGGCGGUGUCCGGCGCCGUGCGGAAGGCGGGUCGUGGGAGGGGGCCGGGUACGGCGGGUGCGGCUGCGACUCUGGACGCGCGCCGGGCCCUUCUCGCGGAUCUCCCCAGCUGCGGCUCCCGCCGGGGGUCCCCCCGUCCCGGCGGUGGGGUCCCCCCCGGCGGGCUGCCUCGGCCGGCACCCAGCAGCUGACUUAAACUGGUGCGGACCAGGGGAAUCCGACUGUUUAAUUAAAACAAAGCCAUCGCGAGGGCCCGCGGCGCGGGUGUUGACGCGAUGUGAUUUCUGCCCAGUGCUCUGAAUGGCAAAGUGAAGGAAAUUCAAUGAAGCGCGGGUAAAACCGGCGAAGUAACUAUGAACACUCUCUUAAGGGUAGCCAAUGCUCUAUGACUCUCUUAAGGUAGCCAAAUGCCUCGUCAUCUAAUUAGUGACGCGCAUGAAUUGGAUGAACGAGAUUCCCACUGUCCCUACCCCCUAUCUAGCGAAACCACAGCCAAGGGAACGGGCUUGGCAAAUCAGCGGGGAAAGAAGACCCUUUUGAGCUUGAACUCUAGUCUGGCACUGUGAAGAGACAUGAGAGGUGUAGAAAUAAGUGGGAGGCCCUCCGGCCGCCCGGUGGAAAUACCACUACUCUUAUCGUUUUUUCACUUACCCGGAGGGGCGGGGAGGAGAGCCCCGAGCGGGCUUCGCUUCUGGUCGAGCCCCGAGCGGGCUCUCGCUUCUGGUGUCAAGCGCCCGGCCUUCCAGGCCGGGCGUGACCCGCUCCGGGGACGUGGCAGGUGGGGAUUUUUACUGGGGCGGUACACCUAGAGCCCCGAGUGGGCCCUCGCUUCUGGCUUCAAACACCCGGCUCGCGUCGGGUGCGACCCGCUCCGGGGACAGUGGCAGGUGGGGGUUUACUGGUGGGGGUACACCCGUCAAACGGAACGCAGGGUGUCCUAAGGGCGAGCUUCAGGGAGGACAGGAACCCUCCCGGGGAGUAGAAGGGCCAAAAGCUCGCUUGAUCUUGAUUUUCAGUAUGAAUAACAGACCGUGGAAAGCGGUCAACAAGCUCACUCCUAAUUGGCGAGUGCGGUUGCCAUAGAAACGUUUGACUCUGACGGAGCCGGUCCAAUCACUGACAGGACAGUAAUCGUUCUGACUUUUUGGGUUUUAGGCAGGAGGUGUCAGAAAAGUGACCACAGGGACAGAAAAGUUACCACAGGGAUAACUGGCUUCAUAGCGACGUCGCUUUUUGAUCCUUCCUAUCAUUGUGAAGCAGACUUCCCCAAGCGUUGGAUUGUUCACCCACUAAUAGGGAACGUGAGCUGGGUUUAGACCGUCGUGAGACAGGUUAAUUUUCAUCAAAACGAUGGAAGUUUGCUUCCUUACUGCGCUUUUGUCAUAUCUGUUGUGUGUUUUGUCGUGAUUUGUUACGACACAAAUACUUUUGUGGUGUUUCAUAAUGUAGUCCAAAUAAAACUAAACGUGAUGCCUUCAUUUCUGCUUUUUAUUGUUUUCACCUCAACAGAUUCUUGGUGCACAUGAGAAAGUCCUGGUGGCGAUACACAAACAUCAUAAAUGACACACAUGGACAAAUGAGAAAACACAAGCUGCAUUAUGAACAAACACAUCAGC
rnacentral:rRNA from 1 species